rnacentral:rRNA from 1 species
UACGUAGGGGGCUAGCGUUGUCCGGAAUCAUUGGGCGUAAAGCGCGUGUAGGCGGUCCGGUAAGUCCGCUGUGAAAGUCGGGGGCUCAACCCUCGAAUGCCGGUGAAUACUGUCGGGCUAGAGUGCGGAAGAGGCGAGUGGAAUUCCUGGUGUAGCGGUGAAAUGCGCAGAUAUCAGGAGGAACACCGGUGGCGAAGGCGGAUCUCUGGGCCAUUACUGACGCUGAGGAGCGAAAGCGUGGGGAGCGAACAGG